UACUGCCUGGACUGAACAAUUCAGUCGAAUUUGCGCGAUGAUCUUAAACGGUUGUCGUGCGAGCUCGGCAAGUUUACUUUGAAAAAAUUAGAGUGCUCAAAGCAUGCGUGACGCAUGAAUAAUGGUGCAUGGAAUAAUGGAAUAGGACCUCGGUUCUAUUUUGUUGGUUUUCGGAACACGAGGUAAUGAUUAAGAGGGACAGACGGGGGCAUUCGUAUUGCGACGCUAGAGGUGAAAUUCUUGGACCGUCGCAAGACGAACUACUGCGAAAGCAUUUGCCAAGAAUGUUUCCAUUAAUCAAGAACGAAAGUUAGAGGUUCGAAGGCGAUCAGAUACCGCCCUAGUUCUAACCAUAAACGAUGCCAGCCAGCGAUCCGGCUGUGUUCCUCAAAUGACACGCCGGGCAGCUUCCGGGAAACCAAAGCUUUUGGGUUCCGGGGGAAGUAUGGUUGCAAAGCUGAAACUUAAAGGAAUUGACGGAAGGGCACUACCAGGAAUGGAGCCUGCGGCUUAAUUUGACUCAACACGGGAAAGCUUACCUGGAUAGGACACAGGAAGGAUUGACAGAUUAAGAGCUCUUUCUUGAUUCUGUGGAAGGUGGUGCAUGGCCAUUCUUAGUUGGUGGAGCGAUUUGUCUGGUUAAUUCCGAUAACGAUCGAGACUCUAGCCUACUAAAUAGACGUUCCGAUCAAUAUGUCGGACGCUCUUCUUAGAGGGACACGCGGCGUUUAGCCGCACGAGACAGAGCAAUAGUAGGUCUGUGAUGCCCUUAGAUGUCCAGGGCCGCACGCGCGCUACAAUGAAGGAAUCAGCGUGUGCUUCCCCUGUCCGACAGGACUGGGUAACCCGUUGAACCUCCUUCGUGCUUGGGAUAGGAGAUUGUAAUUCACUCCUUGAACGAGGAAUUCCCAGUAAGCGCGAGUCAUCAGCUCGUGUUGAUUACGUCCCUGCCCUUUGUGCACACCGCCCGUCGCAACAUCCGAUGGAAUGAUUUAGUGAGGUCCUCGGACUGGCGCUCGGAUUGACCUUMGGGUCGAGCCGGMGYGCCGGAAA
rnacentral:rRNA from 2 species